ensembl:lncRNA
ACAGAUAAAUAUGAAAAGAUUGUUGAGGCUUUAUUUUUGCUCAUACACCAGAAAUAAUAUUUUUUCAUGGAAUCAAGAAGCAUAUUUCUUAUCUCUUAAUUUCUUCCUCUCAGCAACAACAUCCCCAAAUGAUGCUGAUGUUGCCGCUGUUGCCAGCCGAAUUGAGGAGCUGGUGGCAAGUGUUAAGAGGAGGUCCCAGCGUCUUUACAAGGAUAGUGACGGAUGCAAAGGACGUGCCCGAAUCCGCCGAAAGAUCAGGGAGGAAAAAAAAAUCUUAAAUUCUGUAGUGGAAAAGUAUAACACCUUGGUUCCUAAUGCAGAAAAACUGACAUUGGACACCAUUCUAUCUGAUGAGAUUGUUUGGCGAUGGCAGCUUACACACGGUGACUCUGUAGAUCUAAGGACAAAGAGGAAGGCGUUCGACAUUGUGAUGGCAGUAAGGAGACUUGAGGAGGAGAAGAGGAUUCUUAUUGCAGAGAUGAACAAGCAUUGGAAGUCUCUUUGCUCCCGUGCAGACACCCUGAAGCAGAUGUCAUCCCAGCUUUCUAAUGUGACAUCAGGUGAGACGUGGGGCCUGCUUCAAGAUGGUAUCCGAGGUCUACAGAGCUUGACGAUGAAGAACAAGCAAGCAAGCAACAGCCUGGCAAAGCAUGCAAAGAAAUAUUAUGUUCAAGUUCUGACUGAAACAGAAAUUAACUUUGAUAGUGAUUCUGAGGAAUACCAUACCAAUAGUGACUCUGAGCAAGAUUAAACAUGGCCAGAGUCCUUUUUUAUGCUGUUGUGUGCUGGGGAGGCAGCAUUAAGAAGAGGGCCGCUGGGACAGGUUGGUAAGGAAAGCUGGCUCUGUGUUUGGCAUGGAGCUGGAGUUAAUCAUUUAACAAACUGAGGAUAAUUUGCAGUAGCAGUCUUCUGUCAUGCUCAACAUUGAGGAGGUCCUUUGUCCCCAGGGCAUACCAGCAACUCAAUGUCACAGAAAAGGUUAGGGGAGAAAUGGACUUUUCAGCAUGAGUCUCACCCUGCGCCAACCAUUACAUCGCUUUGUCUAUUGUCUAGUAUCCACUAUCCAUUUGACUGUCUUACAGGCUACAUUAGCCCCUCUACACAUUCUGGACUGUGGUUUCAACAUUUACCCCUGUUGGCUUGUAUAAUCUUUUCUCUUUUUAUAUAUAUAUAUAUUUAAGUUUCUGUUUUUCUAUCUAUUUUAACUUCCUUGUAUUGUUUUUGUUAAGCAAUACUAUUAUGCUCAGACUCUUUUUUCCAUAGUCAUAUUAAACAUGCACAGCUUUGCACUGAUUAAAUCCCUGCACUGUUUACUUUUGCACUACCACCACUGCAAAUCACUCUAUAGCUGCCCAUCAUGUAUCACAGGGUCAGUCCCUACCAGGCCUUUGUAAUCACUUGACAUGCUCUUCACUUUUUACAUUUGUGAUUUUUGUUAUGUGUCUGAGCUGUGUGUUGUUUUUGUGGUUGUAUAAGCUAAUAAAUGCCUAAAAUGUGGUGUGUCGUCUUAAGUAGCCUACAGUGUCUGUACUAGGGGGAAGAAGACAUUUCAUCAUGACAGUUUCCUCCAUCUCCUAGAGACAUCUUACAUGGAUACACAGAUAACAUUUAUUCACGAGAUCAU